UUUUUGUGGAUCAUUUGUGUUGGAAUAUAUUACCCCAGUGAAGAAAGAGACGCGUCUAAAGCAUGAAGUACAGAGAGCAGAGACGUUUCUCCGGACAUCCACAUCACAGUCUCAUCUCGGAUAUCUUCACGGCUCUGAUCAAAAACCGACUCAACUGCAGCGAGUGGCUGGACCAUUCGUCAUCCGAAAAUAUCCUCCGAGUUCUCAUCUGCCUGAGAUUGUUAAUAAGAGAGCCUCAUUACCAGGUACCGGUCUUUCUUUUGGCAGGAGCACUGUGUUAUCAUUUUAGACUGAAGUUAAUAAAAAAUACUGUUAAAAAUAAAAAGUUAGCAAAGUGAUUUCGUUGGCUAAUGAGUCCUGUGAGGUAGUUGUGGAAACCAGGCCAAAACGUCAGGUAUAUACAGUAUAACAUAGACGUCUUAGGACUAAAAUAUUGAAUUAAUUUUUAAAUGAAACUUUUUGUAUUAUGUUUGUCAUGUUCUGUAACGCUGCUUUUAGACAACGUCCAUCGUUAAAAGUGCUACGCAAAUAAAAUUGAGUGUAACUGAGCUAAAAUAUCACAUUACUAUUAGCAUCAACCAAAUCAUGUUAAAAUUUUGCAUCAGUUUUAGUGUUUCGUUUUCUGCAAACUGUAGAAUGUGUGUUUGUCUCACUUUUGUCUUCACACUUUUUUUUUCCUACGUCAGUCUCACUUUAGUAUUGCAGUUAAUCACCCGUGCUGAUAGACUGGAAAUGGUUUCAGAAAAAAUGACACUUCCAACACCUCGAAACUGUGUGUAAAGGUCAGGAAGUGUCUUGAGGUUGGAGCUGGAAGAAAGCUAAUAAAGAAAAAUUACACCAGAUGUUUUUUCAAUCAGAAUUAUUUUAUCGUAGAUACAACAAUAAAAGCUUCUUGACUUGACUUGAGAUCGUGUAUCAACAUAAAGACGAUUGUAGAUACGAACUUCCACAUCGAUAUAGAAUUACUUUUAAUAAUUGCUAAAUGAAUAAAUUAAGGUUGAUUUUUGUCCUUUCUUGGUUUAGAAAGUGUUUCAUGAGCUCCAUGGAUUAAUUCACCUUAUAAAGGUAAGGACUGAGAUGAAAUAAUAAGCUAUACUCUUAAACAUAAGAAAUAAAAAUGGUUCCCUUUCAAGGGAACUCGACGCUGCGUCAGUGCUGACGCUAUGGGAAUGCUUCUUUGAGGAAGUUGUGUCUGAAGCUCUGUGUGCACACAUGCCAUUUAA